rnacentral:rRNA from 1 species
CACGUAAGGUGCGAGCGUUGUUCGGAAUUAUUGGGCGUAAAGGGCACGCAGGCGGCGAGGCAAGCUUGGUGUGAAAUCCCGGGGCUCAACCCCGGAACUGCAUUGAGAACUGCUUGGCUAGAGUCAGCGAGGGGCAGCCGGAAUUCCAGGUGUAGGGGUGAAAUCUGUAGAUAUCUGGAAGAACACCAAUGGCGAAGGCAGGCUGCCAGCGCAUGACUGACGCUCAGGUGCGAAGGUGCGGGGAG